CAAGGCAAUGAUAAGACACUAAAACUGGCUUGGGCUUUAUCUCUUCUUCCUCCGCAACUUUUUCACGAAGCUAUUGGAAUUAUUGUUGAGUCAGCGGAACGUAUUGAAGCAGAGCAUCCAAAUGUUUCACUGUUUAUUUAUUAUUUGUAUAACCAGUGGCUACCUCUUGCAGACAUCGUUUCUGUGUGAAACUCCCCAUGGCGUACCAAUAACUUCGCAGAAUCUUUCAACCGCCAUUUGGUAGCUAGAUUGAGUGGCGAGUAUCCAUCACUAUUCACGUUUUUGAACAAUUAGAAAAGUGAUUCAUGAUACACAUAUACAAUGGCAUCGAUUGAAUGAAGGAAUGGACUUGAAUCGCCAUCGUCGGACAGUCCAACGCAACGAAGAUUAUCGUAUCUAUCAUCUUCAGGCGUCUUUGGCGUCCGGAAGAUUUAACUUGCCAGAAUUUUUACAUGCUGCAGUCAACAGACAGAUACACGAAACAAUGCUGAUGAUUAUUGACAGAGAUCAACGGGAACAACGAUUACAGAACGUUGGAAAUAUAUCAAACAUCGGUUUGUAGGAUCCUGAUGGCAGUCGUAAUUUGUUACGUCCUGGGACGAUACAAAUGUAAUCAACUGCUUGUUUUACGGUCAGACAACUAAAUGCCUUUACCCUGGGAGUGGCAGUCACACUUAUUGACAGAUCUCUUUGAUUUAGAAACUUAUUGACUAAUUAACACUAAGG